UACAGAGGUGGCAAGCGUUGUUCGGAAUUACUGGGCGUAAAGCGCGCGUAGGCGGCUUUGCAAGUCGGAUGUGAAAUCCCCAGGCUUAACCUGGGAACUGCAUUCGAGACUGCAUUGCUAGAGUAUGGGAGAGGGAAGUGGAAUUUCCGGUGUAGCGGUGAAAUGCGUAGAUAUCGUGGAGGAACACCGGUGGCGAAGGCGGCAUCCUGGACCGACACUGACGCUGAGGCGCGAAAGCUAGGGUAGCAAACGGG
rnacentral:rRNA from 1 species